UGGGGAAUUUUGGACAAUGGGCGAAAGCCUGAUCCAGCAAUGCCGCGUGUGUGAAGAAGGCCUUCGGGUUGUAAAGCACUUUUGUCCGGAAAGAAAUCCUUGGCUCUAAUACAGUCGGGGGAUGACGGUACCGGAAGAAUAAGCACCGGCUAACUACGUGCCAGCAGCCGCGGUAAUACGUAGGGUGCAAGCGUUAAUCGGAAUUACUGGGCGUAAAGCGUGCGCAGGCGGUUUGCUAAGACCGAUGUGAAAUCCCCGGGCUCAACCUGGGAACUGCAUUGGUGACUGGCAGGCUAGAGUAUGGCAGAGGGGGGUAGAAUUCCACGUGUAGCAGUGAAAUGCGUAGAGAUGUGGAGGAAUACCGAUGGCGAAGGCAGCCCCCUGGGCCAAUACUGACGCUCAUGCACGAAAGCGUGGGGAGCAAAACAGGAUUAGAUACCCUGGUAGUCCACGCCCUAAACGAUGUCAACUAGUUGUUGGGGAUUCAUUUCCUUAGUAACGUAGCUAACGCGUGAAGUUGACCGCCUGGGGAGUACGGUCGCAAGAUUAAAACUCAAAGGAAUUGACGGGG
rnacentral:rRNA from 1 species